UGCAGUCUCCGAGUGAGCCUCUCCCCUCAUGACCUGUGCAGAUUAUGCCAUCAAUAGUGGGAGAGGGGAUGAGGACGAACAUUUGGAGCCCUCAGCACACAGCUGCAAGGGGCCUGGUGAAGCCUUGCAGCAAUGAGGGUGCGCUAGAAUAAAAGCGUCAAGACAAAGACCUGUGGCCUCGUCAAAGUUUGUUGAAGCAAAUGUUUCAGGUUGCCCCUCAAGUCCCAGGACGGGUAUCUUUUUAAGUAUCGACACCAAGAUUGGAGGCAGAAACAUGCGGGAAAAGCAUGGGAUUAAAAG